AAAAAAUUUUGGGACCAUUUUAUGCAGAAAAUGAUAUUUUUUUGACAUUUUCCCUGUAUGCAUGUGUACGCCCCUACAAUCCAACACUGGCUAGAUGUUUGUUUAAUUUCAAAAUACCCACCAAUAUAAAUGUUUCUCGAAGGAUCCGAAUUGACUCCCUUUUGUUGGAAUUUGAGCCUCCAAAUGAGGUUUUUGAUUGCUCUUCUUAACGUGUUGCAGGGGACAUGGACAUAUCGGACGUCCGUCCGUUAACGGACUUGUUAGCCCUGUCAUGUGUACAACUCUUGCCAUAUUUUUGUGAUAUUUAUAUCAUCAGCAAUAUUUUUGACUCUUGCGAUAAUAAGUCCUGAUCGAAUAUUUUAACCAAUUAAUACCUUUGAAAUAUAAAUUAUAACGGAAAUCCCACUGCAUUUGGC
rnacentral:lncRNA from 1 species